rnacentral:rRNA from 1 species
CGCGAAGAACCUUACCUGGUCUUGACAUGUCCGGAAUCCUGCAGAGAUGCGGGGGUGCCUUCGGGAAUCGGAACACAGGUGCUGCAUGGCUGUUGUCAGCUCGUGUCGUGAGAUGUUGGGUUAAGUCCCGCAACGAGCGCAACCCUUGUCCUUAGUUGCCAGCACGUAAUGGUGGGAACUCUAAGGAGACUGCCGGUGACAAACCGGAGGAAGGUGGGGAUGACGUCAAGUCAUCAUGGCCCUUACGACCAGGGCUACACACGUACUACAAUGGGAAGGACAGAGGGCAGCGAUACCGCGAGGUGGAGCCAAUCCCAGAAACCUUCUCUCAGUCCGGAUUGGAGUCUGCAACUCGACUUCAUGAAGUCGGAAUCGCUAGUAAUCGCAGAUCAGCAUUGCUGCGGUGAAUACGUUCCCGGGCCUUGUACACACCG